GCCCCGCUAGCUCAAUCGGUAGAGCGUGAGACUUUUACGAAGCUUUCCUGGCAAGUUUACAAUACUACCAUGGAACACCAUGUGCACGAUUCUGGUCAUCUCAAGGCUGCGGGUUCGAGCCCCGCGUGGGGCU